GGGGUGGUAGAUUAUCUCAAAGUAUUUCUGACUUCAGAAUUGUAAAGACCACACCGAAAAUGAAGGGAGCCUUUAACUCUGUUGUCUGUAUUCUAAGUGUUUUCUGAUUAUUUCUUCUGGAUGGAGCCACUGCACGUAGUUGCGAUGAAGAAACACAUUGUCUACGUGAGUUGAAACAGUUUCAUAAAAACUCAGAACUGGGUAUGGUUGGAGGAAGAAAGCCGGUUUGUGAUAGCAAGGGAACUACGCCCCAAAGCAGUGCUCAGGGUCUCAAUGUUAUUGUGUAAAGGAGGACGGUAAAAAAAUUCAAGAUUUUAGUGUUAACCGUUGGGAAGCCGAACAACAGACAUGCAAAUGCGCACGUUCUAAAGCUGAGUAUCAGGAAACUGGUAUGGUUGUG